CCCUGAACUCACAUGUGUGCAUGCAAUGU
rnacentral:piRNA from 1 species